rnacentral:pre_miRNA from 1 species
UUAAUACUCUCUCCGUCCCAAAAUUCUUGUCUUAGAUUUGUUUAGAUAUGAAUAUAUCUAGUCAUGUUUUAGUAUUUAGAUACAUCCAUUUCUACAUAAACCUAAGACAGGAAUUUUGGGACGGAGGUAGUAUAUC